rnacentral:rRNA from 1 species
UACGUAGGCAGCGAGCGUUGUUCGGAAUUACUGGGCGUAAAGAGUGUGUAGGCGGCGCUCUAAGUUCGGUGUGAAAUCUCUCGCUUAACUGGGAGGGUGCGCCGGAAACUGGAGUGCUCGAACGUGGGAGAGGAAAGCGGAAUUCCUGGUGUAGCGGUGAAAUGCGUAGAUAUUGGGAGGAACAUCAGUAGCGAAGGCGGCUUUCUGGGUGCACACCUGACGCUGAGGUACGAAAGCGUGGGGAGCAAACGGG